CCCUUAGACGUUCUGGGCCGCACGCGCGCUACACUGACCAGUGCAACAAGCAUCCGUCCUUGGCCGACAGGCCCGGGCAAUCUUUGAACGCUGGUCGUGAUGGGGAUAGACUUUUGCAAUUUUUGGUCUUCAACGAGGAAUUCCUAGUAAACGCAAGUCAUCAACUUGCAUUGAUUACGUCCCUACCCUUUGUACACACCGCCCGUCGCACCUACCGAUUGAAUGGUCCGGUGAAGCCUCCGGAUUGGCGCGCACCCCGGUGCCGCCGAGAAGUUGGCUAAACCUUACCAUUUAGAGGAAGGUGAAGUCGUAACA
rnacentral:rRNA from 1 species